UGCACUGGACUCUUCAAAGUGAAGGUCACAGAUGUGGAUAGUGAGGGUAAAGAGAGGCCAAGAGUGAAAGGCUCUUGAGCCACUGCUUGUGCAAACAGGUGGGCUGGCAGCUGCUGACAGUGACAAUGGCUGGUUUUUAGUGGGAACCAGACAGCAGUUUUCAAUAGAAAAGAAUAAAACAAUCCAAGUUCAGAGUAUGACAAGCUUUUAACUUUCUAUUAAAAAAAUCACUCUUAAACGUUUCUCCUGAACAUGUCCCCCAACUUUUGUUAGCCUCUCUAGCAUUUACUUUGUGACUUCCUUCACCAUAGAACUUACUCCUCUCUGGCAGGCCACCCUAGCCCUCAUUGCUCAUGGAAGGCGGAAUCCUGGUGCCCAGCCUGCUGGGCCAGGGCUAGAAGUGAAGUUGGGUUCCAUAAAUUGCGAAUCUUUGCUACAGCUUUGGAAGUGGUGAAGGCUCCUGCUUUAUAUGCAGCAGCACCUCUGACACAUGGUGCAAAUGGUGUCUGGCUAACCUAAAUCAUAUUUCAAAUAUGCCAUCGGAAAAACCGUGGUUCACAGGAAAAAUGCCCCCUUGAUGCUUCCUCCCCCGCUUGAUUAUUCGGGGAUCCUGGAUGUGGCUGGUAGCAGGGGAGA
rnacentral:lncRNA from 10 species